UCCACUAUCAGUAGUAUAAUAAGCCAGAUAGUAGGGAGGUCAUAAUUAUGUAUAAUAAAUACAAAACUUUAAUAUAAUUUCAUAAAAACGGUGUCAUCAAGGAUAUAAAAACGCUCGUAGUUCUUGUGUUAAUCAUCAUUUCCCUCAUAGCAGUUACAGAAGCAACAUGAGGAUUACAUAUUUUAUUGUAUUUGUACUAGCCUUUGUCGCAACUGGAAUAUUCCAAGUAGAGGCAGGAAGGUCAUCUAAACCAGUCACCCAAGCACCAGGAAGAAAACACGGCCAUAAAUAGCCUAAUUUUAAUAUGGAUUAUUAAAUUAUAUUCAUUUGUUUUAAUGUUUUAUCUUACAAAUACAAUAAAAAUGUUAUACCACUAAAAAA
rnacentral:lncRNA from 1 species